CAAGGUUUUCCGUACAACAAACACAAUGUGCCCACAUUCCAUUAAAUUUGGGUUAGGUUACAUAUUCUUCUGUGUGGUUUACCGAGAGUUUACAUUUCCAUACUAUUUGGCCUUUAGUUUAUUUCUGUGUGGUUGAUAAAUUUAUUUAUGGAAUAUUUAGCUUGAUUUUGGGUAAAGCAUUGCGUACUUUCCUUGCAUCAUGUACCUUUUUAACAGUAGCGAAAUUAUGAAGACCAUAUUUCACUUGGAACUACAUUUAUAAUAUUACUAUUCCACAUACGAUACAUAGUAUGAAAACUCAUACAAUCAGUAUAGAAUAUACUUGUCGUCAUCUUCAGUUCGUCGUUAGGUUAGAAUUGUUUAUGACACACUUACAACUGUUAUCCACUCCUCUUGAUUCAUACCCUUACAUCACAUGUGUUGAAUACAGCUGCACAACGUGAUCCAUAUGUUAUGUGAUUAUUAUGAUGCCACACAAAAACGCCACAUCGUUUACUUUAUAAUAUGAAACCGGUAACCUGUUAUUUGAAGGGGUAUAACCGGAUAGAAGGAAGCACAAAAGUCAGACAAUGAAUUAUGUCAAAAUCAUAGCUACUUCCUUGACUUAUCUCCAAAAUAUGACCAUUUGGCCAAUAAGCCCAA
rnacentral:lncRNA from 1 species